rnacentral:rRNA from 1 species
GACGAACGCUGGCGGCGUGCUUAACACAUGCAAGUCGAGCGGAAAGGCCCUGCUUUUGUUGGGUGCUCGAGUGGCGAACGGGUGAGUAACACGUGAGUAACCUGCCCUUACCUUUGUGGUAACUUCAGGAGACUGCGGCUCAUACCGGGUAGGAUCUCCUGCUGCAUGGGGGGGGUUGGAAAGUUUCGGCGGUUGGGGAUCGAAUCGCGGCUUAUCAGCUGCUUGGUGUGGUAGUGGCGUACCAAGGCUUUGAAGGCUAGGCGGCCUAAGAGGGUGACCGGCGUCAAUGGGACUGAGAUACGGCGCAGACGGCUACCGGAGGCAGCAGUGGGGAAUAUGGCAGAAUGGGCGGAAGCCUGAGGCGGCAACGCUGCGUGCGGGAUGAUGGCUUUCGGGUUGUAAACCGAUGUGGACGGUGCUGAACAGUGAGUGACGGUAAUGGGUCAAGAAGCACCGGCUAACUACGUG